GUGGACAGGUACUGCCCCUGCGACGCUCUCGGGGAUGUGUGUGACAUUAACUGCUGCUGUGACAGAGACUGCAGCAGUGAGGACGUGUCUCUGUUCAGCAGCUGCUCGGUCCAGACCGUCAGCGGCAGCCGGCAGCUGUGCAGCCGAGACGUGGCGUCCUACUCCCUGAGGAGCACCGAGGAGGGAUACUCCGAGCUGCAGGCGUCCGUCCGACAGCAGAGCAGCAGUGACGCUCUGUGUGUCCAGUCGCAGAACCGCUUCGACGGGUUGUCCCACUCCUCACUGGCUAUUCCCACCGACAGAAGCUUUGAGGGGCUCUUCCAGCAGUUCACCAGCUUCAUGUUUGGCUCAGAGAGCAGCGAUCA